CCUUGGCCUCUUGCAAACGUUGGGACUCUUGAGGAGAUGAUUGAGAUUGCAUGGCAGAAGUGUCAGGAGUACCAAUCUAAGUUCUUCAUGUGGUAUUGUGUUACCCUGUUGUGCACACAGAGUAGGGCACAGCCCAUCUCUCCACCAGUGAAGCCCAUCGUGGCUGAGCUGC